rnacentral:tRNA from 2 species
GGGACAUUAGCUCAGGUGGUAGAGCACUUGACUUUUAAUCAAGUUGUCCGGGGUUCGAAUCCCCGAUGUCUCA